rnacentral:rRNA from 1 species
UUCGCAAUGCCCGAAAGGGUGACGAAGCGACGCCGCGUGAGCGAAGAAGGCCUUAGGGUUGUAAAGCUCUGUCAGGGGUUAUGAAAUGUAAAUGGGCUAAUACCUCAUUUAUUUGACAAAGGCCCCAAAGGAAGCCACGGCUAACUCUGUGCCAGCAGCCGCGGUAAUACAGAGGUGGCAAGCGUUGUUCGGUAUUAUUGGGCGUAAAGAGCACGUAGGUUGUUUUGUAAGUCAGGUGUGAAAGCCUUCUGUUCAAAGGAAGAACAGCAUCUGAAACUGCAGAUCUUGAGUAUAGGAGGGGAGAGUGGAACUUCUGGUGGAGCGGUGAAAUGCGUAGAUAUCAGAAGGAACGUCGGCGGCGAAAGCGACUCUCUGGCCUAUUACUGACACUGAGGUGCGAAAGUUAGGGGAGCAAACGGGAUUAGAUACCCCGGUAGUCCUAACCGUAAACGAUGGGCACUAAGUAGAGGGGUUUU